CGAGGCUUGACGUCUUCAAUAAACAGGAAAAUCGCCCAAACAGUUGCAACGGUAUUUUGACCAACUCAAAAGACAGUUGAUCAACAUUGACAUCAAAGAAGCAGGUUGUUCGAAGAAUGCAUGGUGCUCCAAAUUAAAAAAGAUUUCUUUCCUGGUGAAGUGUGCCCACUUUACUUUUCUGAAAAGUAUAGUCUUUCAAAAAGCAAGCACAUUCACCGCAAGGUGAAGUGUGCCCACUUAGUCCCCGAGCCUGGUAGUAGGUGACGUAGGCACGUGGUGCCAGGGUCAAAAGAAAAGUCCUCAAAAAAAUUCUGAAACUGAGAUGCAUCGCCAGAUGCAUCGUACCGAUGUAGUCCCCGAGCUUGCUGGAAGGCGAAGUAUGAGCCUUGUAGCAAGGUCUAAAAAAUUGAAUUUACCAGUCCCCGAGCAUAUCAUGCUCGUAUGCAAUUGAAUAGACUAAUCGACCAGUCCCCGAGCAUAGAACGCUCGGUGGUCGGUACAGUCCCCGAAUUCUCAAAUUGGUGGGCUGGUCGACCAGUCCCCGAGCGUAUAGUGCUCGGUGGUCGGUGCAGUCCCCAAGCUCUUAAAUUGGUGAGCUGGUCGACCAGUCCCCGAGCGUAUAGUGCUCGGUGGUCGGUGCAGUCCCCAAGCUCUUAAAUUGGUGAGCUGGUCGACCAGUCCCCGAGCGUAUAGUGCUCGGUGGUCGGCACAGUCCCCGAGCACGGCGUAGGGACCGGUGGACAAGUCCCCGAGCGUGGUUG
rnacentral:lncRNA from 1 species